CUCUCACUCGCUCUCUCUCUCUCCAUCUCCUGUGGCCACAUGGAGUUUCUGGCCGUUAGUUGGACAGGAAAGAGCAUCAGCCGAGUCAUUUCCUGUCAGCUGUCAAAGCACUGGUCACUCUUUGAAAGGAUCUGACAGGAUUUCAUGUGAGUGGGACCGUUUUUUGCCUUGCCAGAGGGGAGACACGUGGAGAAAAUGCAAACUCCACACAGAGGACGCCCUGGGAUGACCCC